rnacentral:rRNA from 1 species
GUUUGAUCCUGGCUCAGGAUGAACGCUGGCGGCGUGCCUAAUACAUGCAAGUCGAGCGAAUGGAUUAAGAGCUUGCUCUUAUGAAGUUAGCGGCGGACGGGUGAGUAACACGUGGGUAACCUGCCCAUAAGACUGGGAUAACUCCGGGAAACCGGGGCUAAUACCGGAUAAUAUUUUGAACUGCAUGGUUCGAAAUUGAAAGGCGGCUUCGGCUGUCACUUAUGGAUGGACCCGCGUCGCAUUAGCUAGUUGGUGAGGUAACGGCUCACCAAGGCAACGAUGCGUAGCCGACCUGAGAGGGUGAUCGGCCACACUGGGACUGAGACACGGCCCAGACUCCUACGGGAGGCAGCAGUAGGGAAUCUUCCGCAAUGGACGAAAGUCUGACGGAGCAACGCCGCGUGAGUGAUGAAGGCUUUCGGGUCGUAAAACUCUGUUGUUAGGGA